rnacentral:rRNA from 1 species
AUACGGAGGAUGCGAGCGUUAUCCGGAUUUAUUGGGUUUAAAGGGAGCGUAGGUGGGAUAUUAAGUCAGCUGUGAAAGUUUGGGGCUCAACCUUAAAAUUGCAGUUGAUACUGGUUUCCUUGAGUACGGUACAGGUGGGCGGAAUUCGUGGUGUAGCGGUGAAAUGCUUAGAUAUAACGAAGAACUCCGAUCGCGAAGGCAGCUCACCGGGCCGGAACUGACACUGAUGCUCGAAAGUGCGGGUAUCAAACAGGAUUAGAUACCCUGGUAGUCCGCACAGUAAACGAUGAAUACUCGCUGUUUGCGAUACACUGUAAGCGGCCAAGCGAAAGCGUUAAGUAUUCCACCUGGGGAGUACGCCGGCAACGGUGAAACUCAAAUGAAUUGGCGGGG